CCGCUGUCCCUCCUGCAGAGGGACCACGACCUGGGAGUCUUUAAAGCCUUUUGUUUAAAGUCUUUUUUUUAUUCAUAACGGAUAACUGUAAAACAGCGGGCUGAAGCCACGAAUUUCAUUAAUCACAUGCAAUUACAAGCCCAGAAAAAUAGUAUCCAGAAGUAGUUAGCUACAGGACUGAUCACAGCAUCACAACAUCACAGGAUCAAUUAGGUUGGUGAAGACGUCUGAGAUAUCGAAUCCAACCUGUGACCGACCACUCCCAUGUCAACUAGACCAUGGCACUGAGUGCCACGUCCAGUCUUUCCUUAAAAACAUCCAGGGAUGGUAACUCCACCACCCCUCUGGGCCGCCCAAUCCAUUAACCUUUCUGUGAAGAAAUUCCUCCUAAUGUCCAACCUAAAUCUCCCCAGGUGCAGAUAAAGACUGUGUCCUCUCUUCCUUUCACAGGCUGCCUGGCAGAAGAGACCAAGCCCUAUCCAUCUUACAGUCAUCUUUCAGGGAAUUGUAGAGAGCAUAAGGUCACCUCUGUCUCCUUUUCUCCAGGCCUAACAACCCCAGCUUUCUCUGCUGUUCCUCACCAGACUUGUGCUCCAGGCUCUUCUCCAGCUCCACUGUCCUUCUCUGGACAUGCUCCAGCCCCUCAACAUGCUUCCUGAAUUGUGGGACCCAGAACUGGCCAUGGGACUCCAGGUGUGGCCUCACCAGUGCUGAGAACAGGGGAAGAUGUUUGGCUGUGUCAGUCACUAGGAGCUUUGCCAGCUGGCAGACUCCUUUAAUUUUAUUGCAUGAAUGAGAGUGGAUUUGCACAAUGCCAUGGCAUCAAUGGUUUCACAUGAUUCCACAGUUAAAUUAAGAUAUUUACAAGUAACUGCUAGUAUGUAAUCUAAUGUGUUACCAUGAUUAUUUCCAUAACUUUCAAUAAGGUUUUUUUCAGGGCAAACUUAACAGUAUCCCUGUUUUGAACAGUUAUAGUUCCGCACAGGCACCCUGAGCAAAGCAGAAACAUUCACUGGAAAUGUGUAUCAGAGGACACACAGACAUCUUCAGACAUGCAACUGCCACUAAACAGUCAGUAAAAUCCCCGCUCUUUUAAAUCUCUUACAUCUCUCACCUUUGCUUAUGGCCGCUGCAGUGGUUUCAGUUACCUCAUUCCAUAAAAGAGCUUACUGGGUUGAUUUUUACUCUCUUCAGUGGGAGCAGCACCUUGUGUUCUGUUCAACAUUAUCUAUCCAUCAUGGAAUAAUUGGAAGAAGGUAAUAGUGAUGCUGCCACCAAAGUACCUCCAAAUGUAUUUGUUCAUACGUGCUAAGAGCCUUGCUAAAUUAUGCCCUUACAUACACAUGAACAACUUUCCUGGGUGUACAGGGAAGGAAAAAAAAAAAAGGAACAUCAAUAUGUCAUCCAAAUCUUUUCCUGGCAUUAGUUUUGCAGUUGAAGGCCAACCGUUUCAGACUGGCACCUAGAGAAAGUUGAAACAUCAUCUCUUUAAUUAAAUUUGCCAUGGAAAAAAGAA